AAGCGUUUGCAGCCAGACGUGCCCGCGGUUGUUCUCUUCCGUGGGCAGGCCAGCAUCAGUCCGGGCGGUCGGACAAAGACCUCUGUCAAGUAUCACCUCUCGAGGUGACCUUAUAGGGGAGGUGCAAUGCGACCAGCCUGGGCUGAGGCCCGCGCACCUGCUAGGAUGCUGGCUUAAUGGCUGUAAGCGG
rnacentral:rRNA from 1 species